AAAAUUGAGCCUCUGAGUUACACUUCACCAAACAGACAUCAUUUGCGGCUUAACUCUGAGUGUGCUGAAGCUUGAAAUGUAGCUUCCGAUUUAUAAUAGCGACAGGACAUGCAGCAAAUGUCAACAAAUCCCUUGUCACCCAGGCAAGGAGGCAAUGUGAGAGGAAAAACUGCAACUGUGUCUGAAAAACUAAAGAUAAAUCUGUUACGUAGAAGACCAUCCAACAGAGAACAGAAUUCUGAAUUUGAUAGGGUACUUUGAUAGUGAUGAGAAGAGCAGGAAGUUGAGAAGAGGGAAACAAGAAAGGAAUGCAAAGAAUGAAGAGAAAUGGAAGCAGAACAGUGUAAUCAAUGUAAGGAUAAACAGAGAAGAAAAGGAGACUAUCAGAGAAUGGUUACUGAGUUACUUUGAGAGGAAUUUCAUAACACUGAAAGAGGAGAUAACAGAACAUGAUGAAGCUCUAAGAGACUUAUUUUAGACCCAAAAGGUCAUAUUUCAGCUGCCAAGAACUUGUUCUCAGUUACUCUGAGCUGUACAAUAUACUGUUCCAUUUCUUGGAAACAAACCAAAGGAUCCCAAAUUACCAGCAGCCACCUGAUCUGCAGUGCUGGAGACAUGAUAAAUUCAUUAAGAAUUUCAGAAGGUGGAUGAAGGAAAAUAUUUUCCAAGUAGUGCUUGCAUGAUUAUCAGUUUCAUUUAUGCAUACAUGCGUCUUCGUUCUUUUUCGACACUACUGAUCGCCAGUAAAAGUGAAAAAAGGGAAUCAAUCCAAAUAAACAGAGUCCUUCUCUAGCUC
rnacentral:lncRNA from 1 species